UACGUAGGGUGCGAGCGUUGUCCGGAAUUAUUGGGCGUAAAGGGCUCGUAGGCGGUUUGUCGCGUCGGGAGUGAAAUCCACUGGCUUAACUGGUGGCUUGCUUUCGAUACGGGCAGACUGGAGGUAUGCAGGGGAGAACGGAAUUCCUGGUGUAGCGGUGAAAUGCGCAGAUAUCAGGAGGAACACCGAUGGCGAAGGCAGGUCUCUGGGCCACUACUGACGCUGAGGAGCGAAAGCGUGGGGAGCGAACAGG
rnacentral:rRNA from 1 species